rnacentral:lncRNA from 1 species
AACAUAACGUGCAGCUGCCUGAAUGACUUCAGGCUGGGCCCUGGCUGUCUCUGAGGAUGGUGAUUGUAAGGCCUUUGUGGUCAGUUCUGUGGAGAACUGGUGAUGAUGGGUCUGAUGAGGCCAAGCUGGUGUUUAACCCAAACAACACAGAAGCUACCAUGCAGCCUGGCAGUACCCAGCCCUCCCUCCAUCCUGAAGACAGACCUGGCAGAGACGAGCUUGCUGCUAGAGGUUUCUUACCCAGGGGACUCCCCAGGAAGCAGCUAUACUGUUUCCCUGAACUUCUUUGGCAGGAGUUUUUGUCACUGUGAAGAGCUUCUAUUAGGAAACAGACUGGGAGGUGAGAAGAGGAGCAUAGCCCUGUCUCAGGUUCAAAGCUGAGGGCUGCCCACCCUCCUGAGUGGACUAGUGAGAGAAACCAGAUGCCAACAGGUGGAAGCCAAAGUCCAGUGACAACAAGACAAAUGCAAAGGAACUGGGACUCAGAGAGCAGCCUGGCAGGCAGUACCCAUAGGAAUGGAAAAAGGACAGUUAGAAGCAAUUUUCUUCCAGAUCCUGCAUUUGUCAUCUUUGUCCCAACUCCAGCUCCAUCCCUACUCCCCCAACACACAGUGCCUAGCAGGUGUUAGGUGCUAUGGGAGGCAUAAUAUUGUCGUGAAUGAGCCUGUGGCCAAGCUUCUUAUGCACCAGUGGUUAAGUUACUUGACCUCUCUGUGCUUCGGUUUCCCCAUCUGUAAAAUGGAGGUGAUGAUAGCAAUAACAGCUAUCGUGCAGGGUCAUUGUGAGGAUUAGCUAGAAUAGCG